rnacentral:rRNA from 1 species
AACCUUUACAAUGCACGAAAGUGUGAUAGGGGGACCCCAAGUGCUCAUGCAUUGCAUGGGCUUUUGCCAAGUCAAAAUUGCUUGGAGAAUAAGUGGUGGGAAAGACUGGUGCCAGCAGCCGCGGUAACACCAGCGCCACGAGUGGGAACCAUUUUUAUUUGGCCUAAAGCGUCCGUAGCAGGUUUAAUAACUCUCUUGUGAAAUCAUCCAGCUUAACUGAAUGGCGUGCAGGAGAAACUGUUAAACUAGGAAUCGGGAGGAGUCAGAAGUAUUCUUGGGGGAGCGGUAAAAUGUGAUAAUCCCAAGAGGACUACCUGUGGCGAAGGCGUCUGACUAGAACGAAUUCGACUGUGAGGGACGAAAGCUAGGGGAGCGAUCCGGAUUAGAUACCCGAGUAGUCCUAGCCGUAAACGCUGCGAGCCAGGCGUUGCAUAUUCCACGUGAAUGUGCAGUGUCGAAACGAAGGUGAUAAGCUCGCCGCCUGGGAAGUAUGGUCGCAAGACUGAAACUUAAAGGAAUUGGCGGGGGAGCACC